CUUCAGCGACCCCAGGAGCAACGGCCGCUCCCGGUCCUGGCCGUACGUCGCGAGCAGUGCCUGCGCCUC
rnacentral:antisense_RNA from 1 species